rnacentral:rRNA from 1 species
ACUCCUACUGGAGGCAGCAGUGGGGAAUUUUGGACAAUGGGCGAAAGCCUGAUCCAGCCAUGCCGCGUGAGUGAAGAAGGCCUUCGGGUUGUAAAGCUCUUUCGGCUGGGAAGAAAUCGCACAGGCUAAUACUCUGUGUGGAUGACGGUACCAGCACAAGAAGCACCGGCUAACUACGUGCCAGCAGCCGCGGUAAUAC